rnacentral:lncRNA from 1 species
CACUUAGGGAAUUACACACACAUUUAUUUACACACACACAUAUAUACACACAGACAUCUAUACACACAUAUAUACAUAUAUAAUGUACACACAGUAAGGAAGUAAGGACCCGUUUCGUGAGUUUGUACUCGAGGAUAUGGCUACCAGUUCAUUCCCUUACGAUGAAAGACUAGGCCGUUAGCCAUCCAGUAGGCCAUCCCCAAAGACACAAUAGUCAUGCUGCACAUGUAGUAGACAGCAAAGGCAGCCAUAUGCUUCAGGGAAAGCAGUGAUAGAUGUACUGUAUAGCACAAUAAAAGCAGGAUGUGAGCCACAGGGGCAGAGUUUUCUACUGUUAACAGUGGGGCAACUGAUGGAUGAAAGAAUAAGGGGCCAAUGUUGAUGAAGGGAUGGCACCAGCGGGCCUGCAGAUUAAAUCAACAGAGAAGAAUUAGAUACCAGUCGAACCAAUAUUCACUGAACUUGGUAAGUAAGACCAGCAGAAGAAGUCAAUACAGAGCAAAGAGGUCUAAUCAGGAAUUUUCCCUGCAGUAUUGUUAGUAAGCCUUGUUAGUUUAGGGAUGCCAAAUUUACUUCAGGCAAUCACUUGUUUUGUUGCACAUGUUUUUAUUGGAAUUUUCCCAGUUUCUCUGGCUGAUCUCUGUUAUGGUGCUUCUACCUUAUAUGAGCCAGGUUCUGACUCUUGCAGUUGGUUGAUUAUGAAUGGGUCUUGGAGGCUGGUGCAUUGAGGUAAGGUUUACUGCUACCAAAGUUCAGUUUGGCAGCUUGAUUUUUUGUUAGAUUUACAAAUGUGAAUAACUGUGUAACCAUUUAAGGUGUAUACUGUUGUUGGUUGAAGUGUUCAUUUAGCCAUAUUUCAGUUAAGUUGAUAAAGGAAAGAUUUUCAUCUUAAGCUUCUAGUAAUGCAUAUACUGUAUAUUGGAAAUAAGUCCCCACAUUUAACACUUAGAUACUAAAUAUUAAAUUAAAUUACUAUAACGUUUGUCUUGUUUAUACAGUAAUAAUAUAAUUAAGGUGAAAUAAUACACAGUAAUAUGCCUUGGGGGCCGACACAGUUCUCUGCUUGGUUACGUCAGCUCCUCCUGCCUUGCCUCCAGAUGAUUGAAGACCCGCUGUUAUUCUUUUACAUCUCGUUAUUAAAUUAAGGAGAGGAAGCAACAACAUUACGAGUCAAGAGGCAGCCGUAUUCCCCAUGAAGCUGUUUCUGGCGGCGGCAUCGAGGAAACAGCUGGUGACUGUUGGUUCAUCAUUGCUCAUGAAGUGAUGCAAGAAGUCAGUCGGCAAUGAGAUGAUGAUUGUACGCAAUUUCUGCCAAGAAAAAUUUGACUGAAAAAAAUGAUACGCGUGUUAGAUACCGAAUUUUAAUUAAGUGAAUGAUACUUAUCAAUAACGCUUGUAUGAGGAUCCACAUUGUGCUACUAGUAAAAGAAAUACCUGGUACAUGUAAUGAAAUUGUAAGGUGCAUCUUCUAAAAUCAGAGGCAACCGUUUCACUUCAUGUACCAGUAAACAGAAGUAUUUAUUUUACCCUUGUAAUAAUAUAUUUGUGGGUUGG